CUGCUCACUUGGCAGCACAUAUCUUAAAAUUGGAAUGAUAUAGUGAAGAUUAGCAUGUGCCCCACGUAAGGAUGACACAUAAAUUCAUGAAGUGUUUCAUAUUUUU